rnacentral:rRNA from 1 species
UACGUAGGGUGCAAGCGUUUGUCCGGAAUUAUUGGGCGUAAAGAGCUCGUAGGCGGUUUGUCGCGUCUGCUGUGAAAACUCAGGGCUUAACCUUGAGCCUGCAGUGGGUACGGGCAGACUAGAGUGUGGUAGGGGAGAUCGGAAUUCCUGGUGUAGCGGUGGAAUGCGCAGGAUAUCAGGAGGAACACCGGUGGCGAAGGCGGAUCUCUGGGCCAUAACUGACGCUGGAGGAGCGAAAGCAUGGGGAGCGAACAGG